AUGAGUCCCACAAGUCCCACAGGACACGAGUCCCACAAGUCCAAUAGGACACGAGUCCCACAGGACACAAGUCCCAAAGGACACGAGUCCCACAGGACACAAGUCCCACAAGUCCCACAGGACACGAGUCCCACAAGUCCCACAGGACACGAGUCCCACAAGUCCAAUAGGACACUAGUCCCACAGGACACAAGUCCCACACCACACGAGUCCCACAAGACACAAGUCCCACAGGACACGAGUUCCACAAGACACAAGUCCUACAGGACACGGGUCCCACAAGUCCCACAGGACACAAGCCCCACAGGACACGAGUCCCACAAGUCCUACAGCACACGAGUCCUACAGCACACGAGUCCCACAGGACACAAGUUCCACAGGUCCCACAGCACACGAGUCCCGCAGGACACAAAUCCUACAGUACACGAGUCCCACAGGACCCACAGGACACAAGUCCAGCAGGACACAAGUCCUACAGUACACGAGUCCCACAAGACACGUCCCACAGAACACAAGUCCAGCAGGACACAAGUCCCACGAGUCCCACAGGACACAGGUCCAACAGGACACAAGUACCACAGCACACGAGUCCCGCAGGAAACAAGUCCUACAGCACACAAGUCCCACAGGACACGAGUCCCACAGGACACAAGUCCCACACCACACGAGUCCCACAGGACACAGGUCCAACAGGACACAAGUACCACAGCACACAAGUCCCACAGGACACAAGUCCCACAGAACAGGAGUCCCACAGGACACGAGUCCCACAGGACACGAGUCCCGCAGGACACGAGUCCCACAGCACACGAGUCCCACAGCACACGAGUCCCGCAGGACACAGGUCCUAAAGCACACCAGUCCCACAGGACACAAGUUCCACAGGACAUGAGUCCCACAAGUCCCACAGGACACGAGUCCCACAAGUCCCACAGGACACGAGUCCCACAGGUCCAAUAUGACACGAGUCCCACAAGACACAAGUCCAGCAAGACACAAGUCCCACACCACACGAGUCCCACAGGACACGAGUUCCACAAGAUACAAGUCCUACAGGACACGAGUCCCACAAGUGCCACAGGACACAAACCCCACAGGACACGAGUCCCACAGGACACAAGUUCUACAGAACACAAGUCCCACAGGACAUGA
rnacentral:lncRNA from 1 species